rnacentral:lncRNA from 1 species
GAACUUUAGGAAGAUACACAGUAUUGCAAAAGUUGUAGGAACGGUAAUAACGUUGGGAGGAGCUAUGGUAAUGACUUUGUACAAAGGUCCGGCGAUCGAAAUCGUGAAAGCUGCACAUUCUUCCUUCCACGGCGGCUCAACCACAGCCACUGGCCAGCACUGGGUCACCGGAACCUUAGCCAUCAUGGGAAGUAUCUCCACAUGGGCUGCUUUCUUCAUUUUACAGGUAUAACUAGUUAAUUUUUAUUUUUUAGCAAAAAAAAAACUAGUUAAUUAAUGUUUAAAUAAAAAAGAAAUCAACAAACAUGCAUUAUACGGUUUUAUAAAUUAUCAAAAUAAUUUUCUGUUUUCAGUCGUUCACGUUGAAACUUUACCCGGCUGAGCUAUCCCUAGUGACGUUGAUAUGUGGGAUCGGAACGAUCCUAAAUUUUGCCGUUUCGAUGAUAUUUGUCCGUGACUUAAGCGCCUGGAAAAUCGGCAUGGAUUCCGGGACACUCGCAGCCGUUUACUCCGUAAGUUAAUCAUCUAUUAGUCACUGGUUAAUUUUAAUCAAUUCUGUAUAAUAAACCUUAUUAUUUGAUUAAAAAAUACUUAUUAUUAUGUGGGAUAUUUCAGGGAGUGGUUUGUUCAGGCAUCGCGUAUUACAUACAAAGCAUUGUGAUAAAGCAACGUGGCCCUGUGUUUACCACGUCGUUUAGUCCUAUGUGUAUGGUUAUUACUUCAUUCCUCGGUGCCCUUGUUUUGGCUGAGAAAAUCCACCUCGGAAGGUAAUUAAGAUUUCUUUCUAUUAUGUUAAUAACUAAGAUAAGUAUAAUUAACAAGUAAUUAACGUUUUAGAGGGUACUGUUGUGACUAUGCAGUAUAAUUGGAGCAAUUUUCAUCGUCAUUGGACUAUAUAGUGUGGUCUGGGGAAAAAGCAAAGAUGCAGUGAAUCCCUUGGAUGAGAAAAUAGUAGCUCAAGAGCUUCCGAUCACUAAUGUAGUCAAACAGCACGGUCAUGAUCUCUCGGGAGCUCAACCGAACGGUCUUGAUGUCUCGAGUGCACCAACUAACGGUGGGUCUGCAAAUACCUAAAUCAGCCCCGAAGAGAAAAAAAGAAGAUACAAAGACAAAGAUGUGAUUGAAAUUUUGAUAUCUUUCUAUGUUGUUCUGUGUUUUAAUACUUUUUAAAUUUUCUAAAUCGUCCUACCCUUAACUUUAGUAUCUUUACAUAUUUUUAUGUUUUCUCUGCUUUUACUUCUUGUAUUUUGAAAUUUCAAGGAAAAUAAUGAAUGAAUCAUUUGGUAAAAUUUGCGCUUAAAACAAAAACAAUUGUCAAAAUGUUACCCAAAAAACAAUUGUCAAAUCCUAUAGAAUCCAAGAAUCUAGUGUCAAAAUUUGGAUAUUUCUUUUACUAAAAGGUUUUCGUAUUUAAAUAUUUUUGAUUUUUUUUGUAUAUAUGAAAAUAAUUUUAUUUUUUUUUAAAACAAUAUAAAAGCUCAUAAGCCUCUAAUGGGCUCAAAAAAAGCAGAUCUAAACUGGAAAACCCACAAAAAGGUCCAAAUCAAUUAACCUCCAAACCCUUAGCUUCCACUUGAAACAUAUUUGCCGUUGGAAACACGCACUCGCCAAAAAGUUAGGACCGCCAAGGCCACCUGAAAGUAAAAAGAAGACGGAGCACUAGAAAGGACCAGUACAAGCCCACACCUGCAAACGCCCUUAACUUUAGUAUCUUUACAUAUUUUUAUGUUUUCUCUGCUUUUACUUCUUGUAUUUUGAAAUUUCAAGGAAAAUAAUGAAUGAAUCAUUUGGCAAAAUUUGCGCCUAAAACAAAAACAAUUGUCAAAAUGUUACCCAAAAAACAAUUGUCAAAUCCUAUAGAAUCCAAGAAUCUAGUGUCAAAAUUUGGAUAUUUCUUUUACUAAAAGGUUUUCGUAUUUAAAUAUUUUUGAUUUUUUUUAGGAGCUAUGGUAAUGACUUUGUACAAAGGUCCGGCGAUCGAAAUCGUGAAAGCUGCACAUUCUUCCUUCCACGGCGGCUCAACCACAGCCACUGGCCAGCACUGGGUCACCGGAACCUUAGCCAUCAUGGGAAGUAUCUCCACAUGGGCUGCUUUCUUCAUUUUACAGGUAUAACUAGUUAAUUUUUAUUUUUUAGCAAAAAAAAAACUAGUUAAUUAAUGUUUAAAUAAAAA